rnacentral:rRNA from 1 species
GARUGAAAGGUUAUACAUUUAAAUUUCUUUAUUAAUUUCUUAUAUAUAAUUUAUAUUAAAUAUAAAAAUAUAUUUUUUAAAUAAAAAGACGAUAAGACCCUAUUAAAUUUUACUUAUAGUUUAACUGGGGAAGUUUUAAAAAUAAAAUUUUUUAUAAAAAUAAAAAUAAAUCUAAUAAAAUUAAAAUUAAAUUAAAUUACUAUAGGGAUAACAGCAUUAUAUUUUUUAAAAGUUCAUAUUAAAAAAAAUGAUUGUGACCUCGAUGUUGAAUUAUAUUUUCUUUAUUAAUGCAAUAAUUAUAAAAGUAGAUCUGUUCGAUCUUUAAAAUAUUACAUGAUUUGAGUUCAAACCGGUGUAAACCAGGUUGGUUUCUAUCUUUUUAUAAAUUCAUAUAUAUAUAUAUAUAUAUAAAUUUUUCAAGUACGAAAGGAAAAAAAAAUUUUUAUUUUAAUUAAUUAGCAAUUAAUAUGCAUUAGAUUUAGAAUCUAAAUAAACUAUUAUUAUUAUUAUUAAUUCUUUUAUUUUUAUUAUUAUAUUAUUAAUUUCAGUAGCAUUUUAUACAAUUUUAGAACGAAAAAUUUUAAGAUAUAUUCAAAUUCGAAAAGGUCCAAAUAAAGUAGGUUUUAUAGGAAUUUUACAACCAUUUAGUGAUGCUAUUAAAUUAUUUAAUAAAAAUUUAAUUUCAUCUGAAAGAAUAAAUUUUAUAUUAUCAUAUAUAACUCCAGCAUUAUCUUUAAUUUUAAUAAUAAUAAUUAUUACUAUAUUACCAUUAUAUUUUUAUUCUUUAUUUGAUAAUAAAAAUAAUAUUUUAAUAUUUUUUAUUAUUUCAAG